rnacentral:lncRNA from 8 species
AUGUUGCCACGGAAACACACUUAUGUCAUAAUCUCAGACCACAUUAAAACUGUCAGACAAGCUCAGGUAGAGCGCAUUAGCUACAUUCGAACGAUCUCUCGACCUGUAACUGAUUUGAUUGAUUACAACAAUACACUACCUUGUCGGGACAUGGGUCAGAGACUAAGUGACCCUGUCCCUGAGGUAUCCCCUAGGGAGAAACCAAAGGAUACACAGGAACAUAAAGAUAAACCCAAGGAGAAGAGGAUCCCUCAAGCCCUGACCUUUCUUCAGCUGUUUACACUGCUGAGCUGCGUCAAGGUGAAGAAAACACCCUUUGAUCCCUCCCAGAGUGGUGAGGGGAGAAAGGGAACAACGAUAAACGAUACGAACAACAAUAAUGACUCUGAUACUGGUGACGUGAAAAGGAUCAAGGACAAGAGUAAAGGAAAGGUUGGGGGAGAGAAACAUUGCAUUGAAUCUCAGGACCACAAAUGCAGAACCACACCGGAAAAAGAAAAAGACAUUAAACAAAGACCUAACUCGAAAGCAAAGGAGACCCAGCAGAAAGAGAAGAAGAGCAUCCAUCCAGCUGUGGCGGCCCUGCAGCUGUUCACUCUCUUCUGCUGUUGUGGGAAAGUCAAGCUGAGGAAGACUCGUCCCUCUCAGAACAGACAGAAUAGAAAGGACCAGGACAAAGAUAAUGCAUCUGAUACUGGCUCGGACUUGUCUGGAGGUGAUGUUACAACCAAAAGGGUAAAGGACAAGAGUAAGGGAAAGGUGGGGAGGGAGAAAGACCAGACUGAAGUUCAGCUGUUGAAAUCAUCUCAAGACCACAAACCCAUAAGUACAACACCAGAAACAGACAAGGGAACUAAUUCGGGACAAAGACCUAACUCUGAAAAUCGAAGGACACCCCGGCAAGUGAAGACCCCUGUGGAGGAAAUUUACAUAAGACCUGACUCUCCGACUCUACCACGUGCCCACAGCUCCCUCUCUCAAUUUUCCGUGGCAAGGAACCUGCCCAUCCACCUGUUGGAGUGGCAGCUACCUGGAGUCCCUCUGACCACCUCGUCUAUGGCAACUAGGACAGAGAGAAAGCCAUCCUCUACCAACACUUCGACACACGCACAGAUGGAAACACAGACAACAGAUAUGAACACAGACUCACAGACCACUGCCACCUCUCAGAGCCAGAUCUCCACGGUCUCAUCGGAGACCAUGAUAGAUGUUCACACGUC